CGGGGCGUGGCCCAGCUUGGUAGGGCGCUUGGUUCGGGACCAAGAGGCCGCAAGUUCAAAUCUUGUCGCCCCGA
rnacentral:tRNA from 1 species